rnacentral:lncRNA from 1 species
GUUAGCAGUGCUUGGGGGAAUGAAGACAGAGGGUGGUGACUACAUGAGAGGGAAGGACAAAAAGAGGGGGCAGCAGCCCAGGCUGCCCGUGAUGCUGUUGCCUCCAGCUCUGGCAGGGCAACAUGGAGUCCUGACCCACAAACAGUCCUGUCCUUCUCUUAUCACUGCUGAAGCUCCAGGACUCAGCCAUUAUGAAAUCCAACCAAGCUUCUGGUGCCAGCAUCUGAGGACAGCUCUCAGGCUGCUGAAACCCACUUUGCCUGUGUGCAUGGAGAGCUGGAAAUGCCUGGGAUGUGCCUCUUCCUGGGGCUACCUGUGACUAAUGACUGAUCAAUCCCCAGCUUCCCCCACCCCCAGACACUCUGAGGUGUCACCUGCCCUAUCUCCAGAGCUCACCUGGGGGAAACAGCCAAAGUUACCCUCCAGGCAGGAUGUCACACUCCUGCUUCUUGGUCCUACUUUCCCACUUGCCUACCCGUUUUUCCAGGGAACAAUUGCUAAUAAAUCUUUUUCAAAUGAAUUGCUUCCAGAUGAAUCCUCAUCUCAGGGUUGGCUUUGGGGAACUCAAACUAAGACAGUUAUAUUAACAAAUCUAAUUGCUGAGCCUCCAAAGCUGAGAACCAGCAGACUGGUUCCAUGGGCUGAAUUUGGCCAGCAGUUGUAUUUUGUUCAGCAUGCCUCC